rnacentral:rRNA from 1 species
GUCUACAAGUAUACUGCCCUUAAUGUGCCCAAUCUCAUCUGAUCUAGGAAGCUAAGCAGGGUCUGUCCUGUUUAGUGCCUGGAUGGGAGAAAGGAAGGGGAUUAUGUCAUCU